GUCACAGGUCAGCUUUGACCUUGACAUAAUUGCCAAGGUCUGUACUCAAAGCCGAAAAAUAAAAUAAACCUAUAAUACAAAUCAAUUUCGCACAAUUUAAUGUAACAAACAUUGGACAGCAGCAACUGCCGCUGAGCUGACAAUAAUUUUUAUGACCAUUACGUGACCUGCGUUCGAAAUUUUCAAAUGCCCCCCAUCAGUAGGUUGUCGAUUUCGACGCUUUAGUAUGCCAGCGGUAAAUCCAAUUAGCGAAGCCCCAAAAAAUGGGAGAAAUUGGAGUUCGUUUGAUUUUUUUUAUUACUUUUAAAGUUUUCUAAAGAAGAACAGGAGCUGAUGGCAAGGCACUGUAUGCCAAAGGCGAGGUGUAAGCCAAGGAGGAAAUGUGGGCCAAUGGAGCAGCAGCGUACUUGGCCACAACAGGAGCAGCCAAUGGAGCAGCAGCGUACUUGGCCACCACAGGAGCGGCCAAUGGAGCAGCAGCGUACUUGGCCACCACAGGAGCGGCAACGGGAGCAAUCACAGGAGCAGCGGCGAUUCCAUUGUAGUUCCUGGCGAUAACCUGGCUACUGGUGGCGGUCACAACUGGAGCGGGAGCAGCUACCACGGCAGCAGGAGCUGAGUAAGCCAGAGGAGCAGAGUAAGCCAGAGGAGCAGUGUAAGCAAGGGGAGCACCCAGAAGUCCAGGCUUGGCAGCAGCGCAGGCAACGAUAGCCAGAAUAACAACGGCCUGUCAAUAAAAUGCGAUGAGUAAAUAUGGCAGGAAGCUAAGAUUCCAAACUUACGGAUUUGAACAUUAUGAUUAUGGAUCUGGUGCUUACGGUUCGAAAACUUGAACUUGUCUGAUGUCGUCCAACACAUUCCAUACCACUAUUUAUACGCCGCAUCGGGACUGCGUCUGUGACCUCAGGCCAU
ensembl:ncRNA asRNA:CR46047 antisense RNA:CR46047